UACGAAGGGUGCAAGCGUUAAUCGGAAUUACUGGGCGUAAAGGGUGCGUAGGCGGUUGUUUAAGUCUGUCGUGAAAUCCCCGGGCUCAACCUGGGAAUGGCGAUUGAUACUGGGCAGCUAGAGUGUGGCAGAGGAUGGUGGAAUUCCCGGUGUAGCGGUGAAAUGCGUAGAGAUCGGGAGGAACAUCAGUGGCGAAGGCGGCCAUCUGGGACAACACUGACGCUGAAGCACGAAAGCGUGGGGAGCAAACAGG
rnacentral:rRNA from 1 species